AAAAAUAAUGUUUUCAGAUGUGUUCAGGGUGAAUUUAGAGUGGGCUUUCUUCCAGCACUCUGCUACCCACUAGUAGUCUGGCAUCUUUAGGGCCUGGACCCUUGGGAAAAUGUUCACUUAUAUACGGAAAGUAUAUCAAAUAUACUUGAGGGCAACAAAAAUAAUCAGAGAGUUGCAAGUCUUAAGUAUGGAGAGCCAAUUCUUCUGUACUUUGCUACCAGGUGAUAAUGGUGAUGACGAUGAUGAGGAUAGCAGCUACCAUGAAGUGCUACGUGCUUACUAUCUUCUAUACAUGGUGAAAUUGAAGGCCAGCUUUUGGAACUCAGCCUUCCAAGGAACUUAAAAUUUCUGUUAUGAAGAGUCCCUGAGGAAACUGGAUCCACUAGCUACACUAGCUGAGAAUGCCCACACUCCAGGAUUUCAUUUUUAUUUUGCCACCUCAUUGUUGGUAUCUUAAGAUCAAUGUACUGGAGCAGCGGGGUCUCACAAAGAGGAUACCUGGUAACACACCCAGGCUUUCAGAAUGCACCAUAGGGCUUUAGUGACGUGUCCAGUUUCAGCUGAAAUGUGUCUUCUGGGACCUACUAAUGCUUGUUGAACUUUACUGGAUCUCAGAAGCUGGGUAUCAGAAGCUCAGAUGUUCCUUGGAGCUACAAUAUCAACAACCUGUGAUGACAGAGAGAAGGUUGCUCCAUGAUGGAUUUGGAAACUUACUGGCUAGCUAAACCUGACUGAAUGGGAAGGAAUGUGGAUAGCUUUGGAACUCUAGUUUCACUAGAUGAGCUGGAAUUUGUAUUUUGACAAAUUGCAAGUUAUGGCUAUUAAGUAAUGCAACUGAUUUUUUUUCCCUUAAAACAAACAAUCUAGAAUCUGUGUAAUCAAAAUAAUUUCUCUAAAAAGGCUGCAAGUAUACACUUAAAAUGUUGGGGCAUUCAGAGCAUUUGGAACAUUACAUUUUUUUGAAUAUUAAUUGGUAGAUGAAAAUACCAACUUUUAAGUCAUAUGUUUGAAUUUUUGAAACAUUAAUAUGCAUUUAGAGUUUGUAAGUCAAGUGAGUAAGGUAAAAACUGAUAAGGUAAAAAAAAAAAAAAAAGAGGGAGUUCCUUGCUGAGUGUGAAUUUAAAGUAACUAGACUUCCUUUUGUCCAGUGGCUCUCAAUAAUUUACUUCAGCAGGCAUUUUUUUUUGAGGAUAUUCUAUGAUAUCAUGACCCUUCUUGUAGGAGCGUGCUUUCAGUGGUGAGGCAGUCUGAGAAUGUGUGAAGCAGUGUAAUGAAGCCAGACCAAGAUUGAAGCUUGGCCUGGGGUUUGAGCAUUAGGAAAACUGUUGAAGGGUUAUGUAUACAUCACACACACACACGCACACACGCACACACACACACACACUCUCUCUCUCUCUCUUCUCCAUACUCCCACAACAAUGUAUAGUAUUUACUAUACAUUGCUGAAGAUCUAUAACAUGGAAUGUCUAGUGCUAAGUGCAGUGUCCUUAAUGAAAUUAUAUUGGUUUGGAAUUAUUUAUGAGUUUGGGAUUAUUUGUCAGUACCCUUAAAUGAUCUUGACACUCACCUAUUUGAAAAGAUAUUGAGGAUUUGCCAUUUGAUAUUGACCAGGGUGUAUUGUGCACAAAAAUAUUGUGAAUAUACAUCUGUCUGUCCUUAAAUCGCUGUAAGUUUUAACUGGAAUAGAUUUGCUCCACAAUAUUCAGUAGGGCUGAUAUUUCAUGCCUUCUGGAUGAGAAAAGAAUUGGCAAAAAUUAUAUCUUGGGCUGCCUCGCACAUCUUUGAACAGGAUAAGGGAAAAAUAAAUAUAAGACCUAUGAGUUAUGGCAUCAGGCUUUAACUUUAAUUUAUGAAUUAAACCAACAAUAUUAUUGAUUAUUGCAAUUAUCUAUGUUAAUUUCACUUGUUCUCCUUUGAAAAUUAAUUAUGUUUAUCUUACUUAUUGUGAAUAAAG
rnacentral:lncRNA from 1 species